rnacentral:lncRNA from 1 species
UCAAGACCGUCUCUGCAAAUGAAGCUGUGAACUCCAUGGCUGAGCUGUGUAUCUUGGAAUAGGGCCCAUGUUUAGAUGGAGAGGUCUGAGUGCUCACCUAGCAGGAACAGAGAUGAGAUGGUUCCUACAACCAUAACAAGAGAAGCAGCCUCUGGAGAGAACUGGGCUUUCUUUUCACUCUUUCCCAUGCCCACCAACUGACUUCAACCUUCAGCAAAGUCUUGGAAUGAAAAGCUAAAACUUUAAAAGGCAGUGGCUCUCAGAAAGUCAGAUGAUGUAACUCUUUUACGGAACGGAUUCCCUGUAACAACACUAUUCUCUGAUCCAAACAUGUUGGAAUCAUGAAGAGGAUGAUCACUGGAUGAACUGUGACCUUGUUAACAUAUUAGAGAAGUGGAUAGAAUCCAAGGCUCAGACACAUGCAUUCCAGGCAGUCAGGCUGAAGAAGGACAGCUUUGGAGCUGAAGAGGUGGAAGAAAGAUUGCCUGGAGCCACGAGUAAAGAUGUGCAUCUAUCAAGGCCAUGA